CAUCUGUACUGGUACACUUGCAUGUGUACCGGUACAUUUGAGUUGGUGGUAGGCUUUUUGGUAAAUUUGCUUGCCUCGUUUGUAUCAACUCUUCAUCCCCUUGAUAUAUACGUGUAGGAGCAGAGAGAGAGAGAGCUAUUUGCCACUCUUCUCCUCCUCCUCCUCUCUCUCUCUCUCUCUCUCUCUCUCUCUCUCUAGCAUUGAUCGAAUAGAAGGAGCUUGGGUAGAGUAGAUUCGCCGUCGACGUCGCGCCGCGGAGCCGUUCGAGCCCACGUUUGUCGCCGUAGCAUCGCGAGGCCGGGCGAGGGUGUGUUACCGCCGUCCUCGACGUCGCACAGAUACUAGUGUCGCUGUCGAGAUUUCCAAUGUCGAUCGUUGGCGUUUCGGCUCGUACUCGACGUAGGAGUGUCGGAUUUUGACGAGAUUUGGUUCGUUGGAUUCAGGACUUCGAGAGGAAUCCACGAAGCCCUUACUUGCUGGAUUUGGUAAAGGUUUGCUAGGUCGGAAUUUUGCUCUUCUCUGUUGCUGUUUUUGAGGCAGAAUUGAUGCUUAUUGUCGGAUUCUACGUGUAGAGUUUGGCGGGAGCUUGACUUCUGGCCUUUGGAGGUGUUUGGUUGAUCCAGCAGGGCAUUCCCUUGUGUUGGGACUUCCUCGCUGCCGGGGAUUAGCGACUAAGAGCCAUCGUCUUCGGUUGCUGCUGUUGCUGAUCUGGACUGAGGCAAGGGCGUCACGAGUUAGAGCCCUAUCCGACGAGUCGAGUUAGAGGAUCACCUGCAGCAGGUAGUUACUUUUUGGUGGAGUUCAUGUACAUAGAGUUGUUUAACUCGCCAGUGCGAGUAAUUUUGUAUCUUGGA